CCUACGGGAGGCAGCAGUGGGGAAUAUCGGGCAAUGGGCGAAAGCCUGACCCAGCAACGCCGCGUGAAGGAAGAAGGCCUUCGGGUUGUAAACUUCUUUUGACAGGGAAGAGCAGAAGACGGUACCUGUCGAAUAAGCCACGGCUAACUACGUGCCAGCAGCCGCGGUAAUACGUAGGUGGCAAGCGUUUUCCGGAUUUACUGGGGGUAAAGGGCGUGUAGCCGGGCUGACAAGUCAGAUGUGAAAUCCGGGGGCUCAACCCCCGAACUGCAUUUGAAACUGUUGGUCUUGAGUAUCGGAGAGGCAGGUGGAAUUCCUAGUGUAGCGGUGAAAUGCGUAGAUAUUAGGAGGAACACCAGUGGCGAAGGCGGCCUGCUGGACGACAACUGACGGUGAGGCGCGAAAGCGUGGGGAGCAAACAGGAUUAGAUACCCCUGUAGUC
rnacentral:rRNA from 1 species